GACGAACGCUGGCGGCGUGCUUAACACAUGCAAGUCGAACGGAAAGGCCUGCUUUCCCUUGUGGUUUGCGGGUACUCGAGUGGCGAACGGGUGAGUAACACGUGAGUGAUCUGCCCCCAACUUGGGUAUAAGCCUGGGAAACUGGGUCUAAUUCCCGAUAGGACUGCAGGGUGGUGCCUGUGGUGGAAAACGAUUUUCUAGUGGUUGGGGAUGAGCUCGCGGCCUAUCAGCUUGUUGGUGGGGUACUGGCCUACCAAGGCGGCGACGGGUAGCCGGCCUGAGAGGGUGGACGGCCACAUUGGGACUGAGAUACGGCCCAGACUCCUACGGGAGGCAGCAGUGGGGAAUAUAGGACAAUGGGCGGAAGCCUGAUGCAGCGACGCCGCGUGGGGGAUGACGGGCUUCGGGUUGUAAACUCCUUUCGACCGAGAGGAAGCCACCUGGUUGGAAGGGUGGUGACGGUAGUGGUAGAAGAAGCACCGGCUAACUACGUG
rnacentral:rRNA from 1 species